rnacentral:rRNA from 1 species
CCUGACGACCACAGCGGUCUGGAACCACCUGAUCCCAUACCGAACUCAGCAGUGAAACAGACCAGCGCCGAUGGUAGUGUGGCUUCUGCCCAUGCGAGAGUAGGUCAUCGUCAGGCUCCUCAAUCAAAAAGCCCCGCCAGUGCUCUGGCGGGGCUUUUUUAUUGUGGAUACGGUGAGUCUCUGUCACUACCUGUCGGCCCCAUGCGACAAGCCUGCCGAAUGGCAGGCGCAGGACGUCGGAGCAACGCGACGACGGGCCCGAAGGGCCGAGCGCCGAGAGGCGCGAGCAAAGUAGGUCAUCGUCA